CCUCGGCUUGGGGAUUCAGUUCAGUGUUUCAUUUUCGCUCUUGGCGGCUUCCAGCAUCCAGCUCUCAGUUGCCAUACGCAAGUUCUCGGCGCUGGUUGCGAUCUUCCGAACGUAGUCGAGCAUCCCAAUCGAGAACUUUUUAAUCGCAAUCAUCUAGGCGGAUGGAAUACUAGAUUGUUGGAGACAGCGAAUGAGCGAGAUUGUAUACAAGAUCUUUUCUAAGAAAAGUACCUACUGUUCAUAAUGAUGAACCACAGACAUGCAGCGUCAAUAGCUGCCAUUUACUUUUUGAACAUAUCAUUCAUGGUUGUGUUGUUCUACAGCUGGAGGGUUUCCUACAAUUUAAAGAGAGUUGCUGAUUUGAAAGACGUUUAUUAUGGUGUGCAAUUUGCGUACUGUGCUAUAAUUGGAACACAUUUAUUAAUGUUUAUCCUGAAUAUACACCUCUACAUCUGCAUAUACAAAGUGAAUCUCUCCCUUAUCAAUUUAUGGACAGUUAGUUUCUUAGCAUUACUAGCCUUGGAAGCAGUAUUAAUGAUAUACUCGAAUAUACUCAGAGAUCAUGUUAACAGAAAAUUCGACGAUCUGUGCGAAUUCGAAGUUUUCUUCUUCUCCAUCAGGCUCGUGUUCAGCGUUAUUGCCGUCAGGUUCGUGACACUCUUCGGGAACCAAUAUCGUAUGGGAAUGGACUGGAAAGAACGUGAAACUAUUCAACUUUGAUCCAGACGAGAUUCUGCGUACCAAACUGCAUUCUGCGAUCGUGACAGUUCAUGUGGCAGUUCUCUUCUUCUCUUUCUUUCACCGUCUAGUUCCAAAUCGUUACAGUUGGAAUGGGUUAAUUUGGUUGAGAAUGUUUAAACUUUAAGAUUGUUCGAAAUCAAAUAACACAGUGCAGGGGGACACCCUGUAGUAAUUGCUCAAUUGACACUAAGAGAUUGAUACCUAUAUGCAUCGUAUGAUUUUUUUCUUUUUUUUUCAAUAUAAAAAGUGUUUAAGAAUUUUUCAGCUUAAGGGCUUCAAAUACGAUGCUAAAAUAAUGUAAAGAUGUUGCGUUGACUCAAUAUAUUAAAUAGUAAUUCGAAAAUAUUGUUAGAAGGUUGUGAAAUAAUAAAAUAUUAUAGCUAUAUGAAAUCAAUCAAAAUAUAAAUUUAGAUUAAGUUGUUAUUUCCAAAGAGCGAAAAUAAUAAUGAUGUAUGACUAAAUUUAAGAAUGAAGUAUGAUUGGACUAAGAAUUGAAAGUAUAUCAAAAAUGAGCUUUUAAUAAUUGAGUACAAAACAAACAAAAUGUAUAGGUAUUAUGUUGAACACUUACGAAUUACUCAGAAGAAAAUUCUUAAGUGGGAUAUUAUGUCUGCAAUAUUGAAAUUGUUGUAAUUUGGUAAUACAUAUUAAAAUAUAUUCUUUUAAAAAAUGUUAUUGCGACAU